CAGCAGCCGCGGUAAUACGGAGGGCGCGAGCGUUACCCGGAUUUACUGGGCGUAAAGGGCGUGUAGGCGGCCUGGGGCGUCCCAUGUGAAAGGCCACGGCUCAACCGUGGAGGAGCGUGGGAUACGCUCAGGCUAGAGGGUGGGAGAGGGUGGUGGAAUUCCCGGAGUAGCGGUGAAAUGCGCAGAUACCGGGAGGAACGCCGAUGGCGAAGGCAGCCACCUGGUCAACUUCUGACGCUGAGGCGCGAAAGCGUGGGGAGCAAACCGGAUUAGAUACCCCCGUAGUCCCUGUCUCUUAUAC
rnacentral:rRNA from 1 species